CCUACGGGCGGCAGCAGUGGGGAAUAUUGCACAAUGGGGGAAACCCUGAUGCAGCGACGCCGCGUGAGUGAAGAAGUAUUUCGGUAUGUAAAGCUCUAUCAGCAGGGAAGAAGAAAGACGGUACCUGACUAAGAAGCCUCGGCUAACUACGUGCCAGCAGCCGCGGUAAUACGUAGGGGGCAAGCGUUAUCCGGGUUUACUGGGUGUAAGGGGAGCGUAGACGGCUGUGCAAGUCUGAAGUGAAAGCCCAGGGCUCAACCCGGGGAAUGCUGUGGAAACUGGGGGGCUAGAGUGCGGGAGAGGUAAGUGGAAUGCCUGGUGUAGCGGUGAAAUGCGUAGAUAUUGGGAGGAACGCCAGUGGCGAAGGCGGCUUACUGGACAGUAACUGACGUUGAGGCUCGAAAGCGUGGGGAGCAAACAGGAUUAGAUACCCGAGUAGUC
rnacentral:rRNA from 1 species